UACGGGGGGGAGCAAGCGUUGUUCGGAUUUACUGGGCGUAAAGGGCGCGUAGGCGGUCGUGACAAGUCACUUGUGAAAUCUCCGGGCUUAACUCGGAACGGUCAAGUGAUACUGUCGGACUAGAGUACAGAAGGGGCAACUGGAAUUCUCGGUGUAGCGGUGAAAUGCGUAGAUAUCGAGAGGAACACCCGUGGCGAAGGCGGCCACCUGGGCCGACCCUGACGCUGAGGCGCGAAGGCGUGGGGAGCGAACGGG
rnacentral:rRNA from 1 species